AUGGGGCCUGACCUCCCCGGGCCCUUCCUCACCUGUACGGCAGGGGUGGGGCACGCGCUGGCGCCCUGGGGACACCUGCAACACCCUGGGAAGCCCCAUCUCCACAGAUCUUCCAGAAGCACCUCCCAUCCCCAUCCCCUUCCUCCUGCCAGCUUUGGAGGGUGGCCGUUCCCAGCUUCUGCUGGUCCUGCCUCAUUUCCUGUUCCCACGACCCUGGGAGGCACGUGCUGUUCUUGUCUCCACUUUACAGGUGAGAAACCUGGCAAUCCAAGACCCAGCCCCAGGCGGGGGGUGGGGGGGGUGGGGAGAGCAGGUGCUGGGGUCUGAUGCUCCGUCCCCCACCAUGUGGGGCCCCUGGACGUCCAUCUAGUGAGCAAGCUGGGGGGUGCACAUCACAUGUCCUGGGAGAAUGUCCCACCUGGACACUCAGUCUACAUGGAGCACAUCCUCAGUCACGUGGUGUCCUACGUCCAGCCUGGUGACCACCAUGGGUCACACCCCUUGGAGCUAUAGGGUUUGUUUGUUUGUUUUUCCCAGGUAAAAUUCACAUAACCUAAAACCAAUCACUUUGAAGUAUACAAUUCCGCGGCAUUGAGUUCACGCACAGGUGCAAUUGCCACCUCGACCGAUUCCAGAAUAUUUUCGUCACUCGUCCCCUCUUCCUCCACGUGCCCUGGCAACCAGCAGUCUGCUUUCUGGCUCUGUGGAUUCGCCCAUUCUGGCCAUUUCACACGAACGGAAUCAUAAAAUAUGUGGCCUUUUGUAUCUGGCUUCUCUCACUCGGCUUCACGUUUCUAAGAUUCACUCAUUACGAAGCGCGUGUCGAUGCUUCCUUUUUAUGUCUGAAUGGUAUAGACCACGUUUUGUCCAUCCGUUCCCUCGUGGAUGGACGUCCGGGUUUUCCACCUUUCGACGACUGUACGUCCUGGUGCCACGGACGGUGCCAUACAGGCUUUUGUUGGGACGCCUGUUUUCAAUUGUUUAGAGAAUAUACCUGGGCAUGGGAUGGCUAGAUCACACGAUAAUUCCGUUUAACCCACCGAGGAGCCACCAAACUGUCUCCCGCAGCGGCUGCCCCAUUUUACGUUCCCGCCAGCGGCGCACACACGUCCUCCAUGCGUCCCCGGCCAAUGCCUGUCCUUUCCCUUGUUUCUGACCGCGGCCCAUCCUCCCGGCUGCGAGAUGGUAUCUGACCCGUUGCUGCUCAGCCGAGGGUCUGCCCUCCUCCGUGGCCUCAGGGCUGGGUGCGUCUGCCUGGAAGAGGAGGCCCAGCGCCGGGCAGCCUGAAGGGCCGGCUGUCCUGGGAGGACCCGGCAGAGUGCAGGCGCUGCAAUCUCUGAGUGCGGGAGUCUGGGGCGCAGAAGGUACAGCUGGCCCCUCGGGGGCCGGCAGGGAGAGGACAGAGUCAGUGUGUCACAGCCAACUGCCGCGGCAGGUCAGGGUCGCACGGAGCAGGAAUGGCGAAGGCGGAGACACAGACAGACAGACGGGCAGGAACGUUCCGGGGAAAGCGUUUCGCUUCUGCUAGUUAUGUCGAAUAAACCAAAACAAGAACUCA
ensembl:lncRNA